rnacentral:rRNA from 1 species
UACAUGGGGUGCAAACGUUGCUCGGAAUUAUUGGGCGUAAAGCGCACGUAGGCGGUUCGUUAAGUCGGAUGUGAAAGCCCUCGGCUCAACUGAGGAAGUGCACCCGAAACUGGCGAGCUUGAGUACGAAAGAGGAUCGCGGAAUUCCCGGUGUAGAGGUGAAAUUCGUAGAUAGUCGGGAGGAACACCGGUGGCGAAGGCGGCGAUCUGGGUCGAUACUGACGCGUGAGGUGGCGAAAGCAGUGGGGAGCAAACAGG